UACGGGGGGGGUAAGCGUUGUUCGGAAUUACUGGGCGUAAAGGGCUCGUAGGCGGCCAACUAAGUCGGACGUGAAAUCCCCCAGCUUAACUGGGGAACUGCGUCCGAGUACUGGAUGGCUUGGAUUUGGGAGAGGGAUGCGGAAUUCCAGGUGUAGCGGUGAAAUGCGUAGAUAUCUGGAGGAACACCGGUGGCGAAGGCGGCGACCUGGGUCGAUACUGACGCUGAGGUGCGAAAGCGUGGGGAGCAAACAGG
rnacentral:rRNA from 1 species